ensembl:lncRNA
GUUGUUGGGGUGUUAUGCAAAGAGAAGGUAUUGCGUAUUGGAUACAGCUACGGGGAGAGCUAAAAGAUGAAGACUUGUUUGCUGUGGAUCUCCUGGACGAAGCACUUUUGAAACUUUGUUUCACGAACAUCAUCCAGGAAAGAUCCAGAAGGGCCCCCUCACCAUCUGCAACCAUGAGCACUCAGGUGCGGAAGAGAAGAUUGUAGCAGAGCUGCGAGAAGGUGUAUGACCCCCUGGCCCCAGACUUCCACUUGCAGGCCCUGAUUCGCACAGCUGGCAAGUUGGUAUGCCUCAAAGACGCCGGCCACAAGAUCCAGCAGUUCUCCAAGAAAGUGUCUAUCCCACCAUCAUGGACGAUGAAACGAUCAGGGCAGCUGCUUCUGGGAGGAAGAUACUCGACCAGAUCCUGCAGCGCCGUGCCACCUCUUUCACCACCAAGAGAGGACAAGGGCUCCACUUUCUCUAAGGCCAGUUUAUGUUGCCUCUGAGAAUCGCAAUGACAUCACACUGGAUGAGCCAGAGGACAAACAUCCAACAGGCCUCUGCUGUCUGUUUCCAGAGCACCUUCUGAGACUGAUAGACACAAUGACACACAUGCUCAAAACAGGCCUCUUAAGGCAUGGGUGAAAUUGUUACUCUAUUGCCUACAUACACUCAUUCAGACACGCACUCACCAUCAAUGCGUGUGUAUUGAUCUGAGCGUCCUGAGAAGGGCCAGCAAUGGAAUGAGCUGUCUGAGUACUGAACACUUAAGAUGAUUUCCAGGACUGAUGCAGCACUAAUUGG